GAGUGUUACAGCUCUUUUACAAGAUGUCUAGCAGGUUUUCUGGUCCACACUGGAAAACCCAA
rnacentral:snRNA from 1 species